UGGAAGGCUCUAGGGGAAUAAAGAUGGAAUGACUUCUAAUUUUUAGGUCCGUAUGAUUUGAAAUACUUUCACACAAACCGCGCGAAAGCGUUCCUGGAAAUCUCAGCCCCAAAAAGGACGUUUAGUAAUUCUAGAAGGGACUAUAGGAUGAAAAACAAUAGUUUUGGUAGUUAAAGUUUGAGAUUCGAUGGUGCCGUGGAUCCGUUUGGUCAUCAGGUGUUACGAGCCACACCCAUGUCUAGCUAGAAUAGUAUGUUAGGCUCAGGUUAGAGAAGAAACGGGGAACAAACUGAUGAAAAAAUGAUCAUACCAAGGGAAUUCACUCAGAACUAACAAGAAUGAUAACGUGCUCCGACUGGAGCGGUUUAGGAACUGCUGGAAGGCUCUAGGGGAAUAAAGAUGGAAUGACUUCUAAUUUUUACGUCCGUAUGAUUUGAAAUACUUGCACACAAACCACGCAAAAGCGUUCCUGGAAAUCUCAGCCUAAAAAAGGACGUUUAGUAAUUCUAAAAGGGACUACAGGAUGAAAAAUAAUAGUUUGGGCAGUUAAAAUUUGAGAUUCAACGGUGCCGUAGAUCCGUUUGGUCAUGAGGUGUUACGAGCCACACCCAUGUCUAGCUAGAAUAGUGUGUUAGGCUCAGGCUAGAGAAGAAACGGGGAACAAAUUGAUGAAAGAAUGAUCAUACCGAGGGAAUUCACUCAGAACUAACAAGAAUGAUAACGUGCUCCGACUGGAGCAGUUUGGAAACUGUUGGUAGGCUCUAGGGGAAUAAAGAUGGAAUCACUUCAAAUUUUUAGGUCCGUAUGAUUUGAAAUACUGGCACACAAACCGCGCGAAAGUGUUCCUGGAAAUCUCAGCCCAAAAAAGGACGUUUAGUAAUUCUAAAAGGGACUACAGGAUGAAAAACAAUACUUUUGGCAGUUAAAGUUUGAGAUUCGACGGUGCCGUAGAUCUGUUUGGUCAUCAGGUGUAACGAGCCACACCCAUGUCUAGCUAGAGUAGUGUGCUAGGCUCAGACUAGAGAAGAAACGGGGAACAAAGUGAUGAAAGAAUGAUCAUACCGAGGGAAUUCACUCAGAACUAACAAGAAUGAUAACGUGCUCCGACUGGAGCGGUUUAGGAACUGCUGGAAGGCUCUAGGGAAAUAAAGAUGGAAUGACUUCUAAUUUUUAGGUCCAUAUCAUUUGAAAUACGUGCACACAAACCCCGAGAAAGCGUUCCUGGAAAUCUCGGCCGAAAAAAGGAUGUUUAAUAAUUCUAAAAGGGACUACAGGAUGAAAAACAAUAGUUUUGGCAGUUAAAGUUUGAGAUUUGACGGUGCCGUAGAUCUGUUUGGUCAUCAGGGGUUACGAGCCACACCCAUGUCUAGCUAGAAUAGUGUGUUAGGCUCAGGCUAGAGAAGAAACGGGGAACAAAUUGAUGAAAGAAUGAUCAUACCGAGGGAAUUCACUCAGAACUAACAAGAAUGAUAACGUGCUCCGACUGGAGCAGUUUGGAAACUGUUGGUAGGCUCUAGGGGAAUAAAGAUGGAAUCACUUCUAAUUUUUAGGUCCGUAUGAUUUGAAAUACAUGCACACAAACCCCAAGAAAGCGUUCCUGGAAAUCUCGCCCCGAAAAACGACGUUUAGUAAUUCUAAAAGGGACUACAGGAUGAAAAACAAUACUUUUGGCAGUUAAAGUUUGAGAUUCGACGGUGCCGUAGAUCUGUUUGGUCAUCAGGUGUAACGAGCCACACCCAUGUCUAGCUAGAGUAGUGUGCUAGGCUCAGACUAGAGAAGAAACGGGGAACAAAGUGAUGAAAGAAUGAUCAUACCGAGGGAAUUCACUCAGAACUAACAAGAAUGAUAACAUGCUCCGACUGGAGCGGUUUAGGAAGUGCUGGAAGGCUCUAGGGAAAUAAAGAUGGAAUGACUUCUAAUUUUUAGGUCCAUAUCAUUUGAAAUACGUGCACACAAACCCCGAGAAAGCGUUCCUGGAAAUCUCGGCCGAAAAAAGGAUGUUUAAUAAUUCUAAAAGGGACUACAGGAUGAAAAACAAUAGUUUUGGCAGUUAAAGUUUGUGAUUCGAUGGUGCCGUAGAUCUGUUUGGUCAUCAGGUGUUACGAGCCACACCCAUGUCUAGCUAGAACAGUGUGUUAGGCUCAGGCUAGAGCAGAAACGGGGAACAAACUUAUGAAAGAAUGAUCAUACCGAGGGAAUUCACUCAGAACUAACAAGAAUGAUAACGUGCUCCAACUGGAGCGGUUUAGGAACUGCUGGAAGGCUCUAGGGGAAUAAAGAUGGAAUGACUUCAAAUUUUUAGGUCCGUAUGAUUUGAAAUACUUGCACACAAACCGCUAGAAAGCGUUCCUGGAAAUCUCAGCCCAAAAAAGGACGUUUAGUAAUUCUAAAAGGGACUACAGGAUGAAAAACAAUAGUUCUGGCAGUUAAAGUUUGAGCUUCGAUAAUGUCGUAGAUCCGUUUGGUCAUCAGGUGUAACGAGCCACACCCAUUUCUAGCUAGAGUAGUGUGCUAGGCUCAGACUAGAGAAGAAAUGGGCAACAAACUAAUGAAAGAAUGAUCAUACCGAGGGAAUUCACUCAGAACUAACAAGAAUGAUAACGUGCUCCGACUGGAGCGGUUUAGGAACUGCUGGAAGGCUCUAGGGGAAUAAAGAAGGAAUGACUUCUAAUUUUUAGGUCCGUAUGAUUUGAAAUGUGUGCACACAAACCCCGAGAAAGCAUUCCUGGAAAUCUCGGCCCAAAAAAGGACGUUUAGUAAUUCUAAAAGGGACUACAGGAUGAAAAACAAUAGUUUUGGCAGUUAAAGUUUGAGAUUCGAUAAUGCCGUAGAUCCGUUUGGUCAUCAGGUGUAACGAGCCACACCCAUGUCUGGUUAGAGUAGUGUGCUAGGCUCAGACUAGAUAAGAAACGGGGAACAAACUGAUGAAAGAAUGAUCAUACCGAGCGAAUUCACUCAGAACUAACAAGAAUGAUAACAUGCUCCGACUGGAGCGGUUUAGGAACUGCUGGAAGGCUCUAGGGGAAUAAAGAUGGAAUGACUUCUAAUUUUUAGGUCCGUAUGAUUUGAAAUACUUGCACACAAACCACGCGAAAGCGUUCCUGGAAAUCUCAGCCCAAAAAAGGACGUUUAGUAAUUCUAAAAGGGACUACAGGAUGAAAAACAAUAGUUUUGGCAGUUAAAGUUUGAGAUUCGACAGUGCCGUAGAUCCGUUUGGUCAUCAGGUAUUACGAGCCACACCCAUGUCUAGCUAGAAUAGUGUGCUAGGCUCAGGCUAGAGAAGAAACGGGGAACAAACUGAUGAAAGAAUGAUCAAACCGAGGGAAUUCACUCAGAACUAACAAUAAUGAUAACGUGCUCCGACUGGUGCGGUUUAGGAACUGCUGGAAGGCUCUAGGGGAAUAAAGAUGGAAUGACUUCUAAUUUUUAGGUCCGUAUGAUUUGAAAUACUUGCACACAAACCGCGCGAAAGCGUUCCUGGAAAUCUCAGCCCAAAAAAGGACGUUUAGUAAUUUUAAAAGGGACUAUAGGAUGAAAAACAAUAGUUUUGGCAAUUAAAGUUUGAGAUUCGACGGUGUCGUAGAUCCGUUUGGUCAUCAGGUGUUACGAGCCACACCCAUGUCUAGCUAGAAUAGUAUGUCAGGCUCAGGUUAGAGUAGAAACGGGGAACAAACUGAUGAAAGAAUGAUCAUACCAAGGGAAUUCACUCAGAACUAUCAAGAAUGAUAACGUGCUCCGACUGGAGUGAUUUAGGAACUGCUGGAAGGCUCUAGGGGAAUAAAGAUGGAAUGACUUCUAAUUUUUACGUCCGUAUGAUUUGAAAUACUUGCACACAAAUCACGCAAAAGCGUUCCUGGAAAUCUCAGCCUAAAAAAGGACGUUUAGUAAUUCUAAAAGGGACUACAGGAUGAAAAACAAUAGUUUGGGCAGUUAAAAUUUGAGAUUCGACGGUGCCGUAGAUCCGUUUGGUCAUCAGGUGUUACGAGCGACACCCUUGUCUAGCUAGAAUAGUGUGUUAGGCUCAGACUAGAGAAGAAACGGGGAACAAAGUGAUGAAAGAAUGAUCAUACCGAGGGAAUUCACUCAGAACUAACAAGAAUGAUAACGUGCUCCGACUGGAGCGGUUUAGUAACUGCUGGAAGGCUCUAGGGGAAUGAAGAUGGAAUGACUUCUAAUUUUUAGGUCCGUAUGAUUUGAAAUACAUGCACACAAACCCUGAGAAAGCGUUCCUGGAAAUCUCGGUCGAAAAAAGGAUGUUUAAUAAUUCUAAAAGGGACUACCGGAUGAAAAACAAUAGUUUUGGCAGUUAAAGUUUGUGAUUCGAUGGUGCCGUAGAUCUGUUUGGUCAUCAGGUGUUACGAGCCACACCCAUGUCUAUCUAGAAUAGUGUGUUAGGCUCAGGCUAGAGCAGAAACGGGGAACAGACUUAUGAAAGAAUGAUCAUACCGAGGGAAUUCACUCAGAACUAACAAGAAUGAUAACGUGCUCCGACUGGCGCGGUUUAGGAACUGCUGGAAGGCUCUAGGGGAAUAAAGAUGGAAAGACUUCUAAUUUUUAGGUCCGUAUGAUUUGAAAUACUUGCACACAAACCGCACGAAAGCGUUCCUGGAAAUCUCAGCCUAAAAAGGAUGUUUAGUAAUUCUAAAAGGGACUACAAGAUGAAAAAUAAUAGUUUGGGCAGUUAAAAUUUGAGAUUCGACGAUGCCGUAGAUCCGUUUGGUCAUCAGGUGUUAUGAGCCACACCCAUGUCUAGCUAGAAUAGUGUGUUAGGCUCAGGCUAGAGAAGAAACGGGGAACAAACUGAUGAAAGAAUGAUCAUACCGAGGGAAUUCACUCAGAACUAACAAGAAUGAUAACGUGCUCCGACUGGAGCAGUUUAGAAACUGCUGGAAGGCUCUAAUGGAAUAAAGAUGGAAUGCCUUCAAAUUUCUAGGUCCGUAUGAUUUGAAAUACUUGCACACAAACCGCUCGAAAGCGUUCCUGGAAAUCUCAGCCCAAAAAAGGACGUUUAGUAAUUCUAAAAGGGACUACAGGAUGAAAAACAAUAGUUUUGGCAGUUAAAGUUUGAGAUUCGAUGGUGCCGUAGAUCCGUUUGGUCAUCAGGUGUAACGAGCCACACACAUGUCUAGCUAGAGUAGUGUGCUAGGCUCAGACUAGAGAAGAAACGGGGAACAAAGUGAUGAAAGAAUGAUCAUACCGAGGGAAUUCACUCAGAACUUACAAGAAUGAUAACGUGCUCCGACUGGAGCGCUUUAGUAACUGCUGGAAGGCUCUAGGCGAAUAAAGAUGGAAUGACUUCUAAUUUUUAGGUCCGUAUGAUUUGAAAUACUUGCACACAAACCACGCAAAACCGUUCCUAGAAAUCUCGGUCGAAAAAAGGACGUUUAGUAAUUCUAAAAGGGACUACAGGAUGAAAAACAAUAGUUUUGGCAGUUAAAGUUUGAGAUUCGAUGGUGCCGUAGAUCCGUUUGGUCAUCAGGUGUUACGAGCCACACCCAUGUCUAGCUAGAGUAGUGUGCUAGGUUCAGACUAGAGAAGAAACGGGGAACAAAGUGAUUAAAGAAUGAUCAUACCGAGGGAAUUCACUCAGAACUAACAAGAAUGAUAACGUGCUCCGACUGGAGCGGUUUAGGAACUGCUGGAAGGCUCUAGGGGAAUAAAGAUGGAAUGACUUCUAAUUUUUACGUCCGUAUGAUUUGAAAUACAUGCACACAAACCACGCAAAAGCGUUCCUGGAAAUCUCAGCCUAAAAAAGGACGUUUAGUAAUUCUAAAAGGGACUACAGGAUGAAAAAUAAUAGUUUGGGCAGUUAAAAUUUGAGAUUCGACGCUGCCGUAGAUCCGUUUGGUCAUCAGGUCUUACGAGCCACACCCAUGUCUAGCUAGAAUAGUGUGUUAGGCUCAGGCUAGAGAAGAAACGGGGAACAAACUGAUGAAAGAAUGAUCAUACCGAGGGAAUUCACUCAGAACUAACAAGAAUGAUAACGUGCUCCGACUGGAGCAGUUUAGAAACUCCUGGAAGGCUCUAGGGGAAUAAAGAUGGAAUGACUUCAAAGUUUUAGGUCCGUAUGAUUUGAAAUACUUGCACACAAACCGCGUGAAAGCGUUCCUGGAAAUCUCAACCCAAAAAAGGGCGUUUAGUAAUUCUAAAAGGGACUACAGGAUGUAAAACAAUAGUUUUGGCAGUUAAAGUUUGAGAUUCGAUGGUGCCGUAGAUCCGUUUGGUCAUCAGGUGUAACGAGCCACACCCAUGUCUAGCUAGAGUAGUGUGCUAGGCUCAGACUAGAGAAGAAACGGGGAACAAAGUGAUGAAAGAAUGAUCAUACCGAGGGAAUUCACUCAUAACUAACAAGAAUGAUAACGUGCUCUGACUUGAGCGGUUUAGGAACUGCUGGAAGGCUAUAGGGGAAUAAAGAUGGAAUGACUUCAAAUUUUUAGGUCCGUAUGAUCUGAAAUACUUGCACACAAACCGCGAGAAAGCGUUCCUGGAAAUCUCAACCCAAAAAAGGACGUUUAGUAAUUCUAAAAGGGACUACAGGAUGAAAAACAAUAGUUCUGGCAGUUAUUGUUUGAGAUUCGAUAAUCUCGUAGAUCCGUUUGGUCAUCAGGUGUAACGAGCCACACCCAUGUCUAGCUAGAGUAGUGUGCUAGGCUCAGACUAGAGAAGAAACGGGGAACAAACUGAUGAAAGAAUGAUCAUACCGAGGGAAUUCACUUAGAACUAACAAGAAUGAUAACGUGCUCCGACUGGAGCGGUUUAGGAACUGCUGGAAGGCUCUAGGGGAAUAAAGAAGGAACGACUUCUAAUUUUUAGGUCCGUAUGAUUUGAAAUAUGUGCACACAAACCACGAGAAAGCGUUCCUAGAAAUCUCGGCCCAAAAGAGGACGUUUAGUAUUCUAAAAGGGACUACAGAAUGAAAAACAAUAGUUUUGGCAGUUAAAGUUUGAGAUUUGACGGUGCCGUAGAUCUGUUUGGUCAUCAGGGGUUACGAGCCACACCCAUGUCUAGCUAGAAUAGUGUGUUAGGCUCAGGCUAGAAAAGAAACGGGGAACAAAGUGAUGAAAGAAUGAUCAUACCGAGGGAAUUCACUCAGAACUAACAAGAAUGAUAACAUGCUCCGACUGGAGCGGUUUAGGAACUGCUGGAAGGCUCUAGGGGAAUAAAGAUGGAAUGACUUCUAAUUUUUAGGUCCGUAUGAUUUGAAAUACUUGCACACAAACCGCGCGAAAGCGUUCCUGGAAAUCUCAGCCCAAAAAAGGACGUUUAGUAAUUCUAAAAGGGACUACAGGAUGAAAAACAAUAGUUUUGGCAGUUAAAGUAUGAGAUUCAACGGUGCCGUAGAUCCGUUUGGUCAUUAGGUGUUACGAGCCACACCCAUGUCUAGCUAGAAUAGUGUGCUAGGCUCAGGCUAGAGAAGAAACGGGGAACAAACUGAUGAAAGAAUGAUCAAACCGAGGGAAUUCACUCAGAACUAACAAUAAUGAUAACGUGCUCCGACUGGAGCGGUUUAGGAACUGCUGGAAGUCUCUAGGGGAAUAAAGAUGGAAUGACUUCUAAUUUUUACGUUCGUAUGAUUUGAAAAACUUGCCCAUAAACCGCGCGAAAGUGUUCCUGGAAAUCUCAGCCCAAAAAAGGACGUUUAGUAAUUUUAAAAGGGACUACACGAUGAAAAACAAUAGUUUUGGCAGGUAAAGUUUGAGAUUCGACAGUGCCGUAGAUCCGUUUGGUCAUCAGGUGUUACGAGCCACACCCAUGUCUAGCUAGAAUAGUAUGUUACGCUCAGGUUAGAGAAGAAACGGGGAACAAACUGAUGAAAGAUGAUCAUACCAAGGGAAUUCACUCAGAACUAACAAGAAUGAUAACGUGCUCCGACUGGAGCGGUUUAGGAACUGCUGGAAGGCUCUAGGGGAAUAAAGAUGGAAUGACUUCUAAUUUUUACGUCUGUAUGAUUUGAAAUACUUGCACACAAACAACGCAAAAGCAUUCCUGGAAAUCUCAUCCUAAAAAAGGACGUUUAGUAAUUCUAAAAGGGACUACAGGAUGAAAAAUAAUAGUUUGGGAAGUUAAAAUUUGAGAUUCGAUAGUGCCGUAGAUCCGUUUGGUCAUCAGGUGUUAGGAGCCACACCCAUGUCUAGCUAGAAUAGUGUGUUAGGCUCAGGCUAGAGAAGAAACAGGGAACAAACUGAUGAAAGAAUGAUCAUACCGAGGGAAUUCACUCAGAACUAGCAAGAAUGAUAACGUGCUCCGACUGGAGCAGUUUUGAAACUGCUGGAAGGCUCUAGGGGAAUAAUGAUGGAAUGACUUCUAAGUUUUUGGUCCGUAUGAUUUGAAAUACGUGCACACAAACCCAGAGAAAGUGUUCUUGGAAAUCUCGGCCGAAAAAAGGAUGUUUAAUAAUUCUAAAAGGGACUACAGGAUGAAAAACAAUAGUUUUGGCAGUUAAAGUUUGUGAUUCGAUGGUGCUGUAGAUCUGUUUGGUCAUCAGGUGUUAUGAGCCACACCCAUGUCUAGCUAGAACAGUGUGUUAGGCUCAGGCUAGAGCAGAAACGGGGAACAAACUUAUGAAAGAAUGAUCAUACCGAGGGAAUUCACUCAGAACUAACAAGAAUGAUAACGUGCUCCGACUGGAGAGGUUUAGGAACUGCUGGAAGGCUCUAGGGGAAUAAAGAUGGAAUGACUUCAAAUUUUUAGGUCUGUAUGAUCUGAAAUACUUGCACACAAACCGCGAGAAAGCGUUCCUGGAAAUCUCAGCCCAAAAAAGGACGUUUAGUGAUUCUAAAAGGGACUACGGGAUAAAAAACAAUAGUUUUGGCAGUUAAAGUUUGAGAUUCGAUAAUGCCGUAGAUCCGUUUGGUCAUCAGGUGUAACGAGCCACACCCAUGUCUAGCUAGAGUAGUGUGCUAGGCUCAUACUAGAGAAGAAAUGGGGAACAAACUGAUGAAAGAAUGAUCAUACCGAGGGAGUUCACUCAAAACUAACAUGAAUGAUAACGUGCUCCGACUGGAGCGGUUUAGGAACUGCUGGAAGGCUCUAGGGGAAUAAAGAUGGAAUGACUUCUAAUUUUUAGGUCCGUAUGAUUUGAAAUACAUGCACACAAACCCCAAGAAAGCGUUCCUGGAAAUCUCGCCCCGAAAAACGACGUUUAGUAAUUCUAAAAGGGACUAUAGGAUGAAAAACAAUAGUUUUGGCAGUUAAAGUUUGAGAUUUGACGGUGCCGUAGAUCUGUUUGGUCAUCAGGUGUUACGAGCCACACCCAUUUCUAGCUAGAAUAGUGUGUUAGGCUCAGGCUAGAAAAGAAACGGGGAACAAAGUGAUGAAAGAAUGAUCAUACCGAGGGAAUUCACUCAGAACUAACAAGAAUGAUAACAUGGUCCGACUGGAGCGGUUUAGGAACUGCUGGAAGGCUCUAGGGGAAUAAAGAUGGAAUGACUUCUAACUUUUAGGUCCGUAUGAUUUGAAUUACUUGCACACAAACCGCGCGAAAGCGUUCCUGGAAAUCUCAGCCCAAAAAAGGACGUUUAGUAAUUCUAAAAGGGACUACAGGAUGAAAAACAAUAGUUUUGGCAGUUAAAGUUUGAGAUUCGACGGUGCCGUAGAUCCGUUUGGUCAGCAGGUGUUACGAGCCACACCCAUGUCUAGCUAGAGUAGUGUGCUAGGUUCAGACUAGAGAAGAAAUGUUGGGGAACGUAGCAGAAAUUCAAAAUUUUCCUACGUGUCACCAAGAUCUAUCUAUGGAGAGACUAGCAACGAGGGAAGGAGAGUGCAUCUACAUACCCUUGUAGAUCGCUAAGCGGAAGCGUUCAAGUGAACGGGGUUGAUGGAGUCGUACUCGUCGUGAUUCAGCUCACCGAUGAUCCUAGUGCCGAACGGACGGCACCUCCGCGUUCAACACACGUACAGCUCGACGAUGUCUCCCACGCCUUGAUCCAGCAAGGAGAGAGGGAGAGGUUGAGGAAGACUCCAUCCAGCAGAAGCACAACGGCGUGGUGGUGAUGGAGGAGCAUGGCAAUCCUGCAGGGCUUCGCCAAGCACCUAUGGGAGAGGAGGAGGUGUCACGGGAGGGAGGGAGGCGCCAAGGGCUCAGGUAUAGAUGCCCUCCCUCCCCUCCACUAUAUAUAGGGGCAAGGGAGAGGGGGGAGGCGCAGCCUUGCCCCUUCCUCCAAGGAAGGGGUGCGGCUAAGAGGGGGGGAGGAGUCCAUCCUCCCCAAGGCACCUCGGAGGUGCCUUCCCCCUUUAGGACUCUCCCCUUUUUCCUAUAUCUUGGCGCAUGGGCCUCUAGGGGCUGGUUCCCUUGGCCCAUGUAGGCCCAGGCGCACCCCCUACAGCCCAUGUGGCCCCCCGGGGCAGGUGGCCCCACCUGGUGGGCCCCCGGGACCCUUCCGGUGGUCCCGGUACAAUACCGAUGACCCCGAAACUUGUCCCGAUGGCCGAAACAGGACUUCCUAUAUAUAAAUCUUUACCUCCGGACAAUUCCGGAACUCCUCGUGACGUCCGGGAUCUCAUCCGGGACUCCGAACAACAUUCGGUAACCACAUACAAACUUCCUUUAUAACCCUAGCGUCAUCGAACCUUAAGUGUGUAGACCCUACGGGUUCGGGAGACAUGUAGUCAUGACCGAGAUGUUCUCCGGUCAAUAACCAACAGCGGGAUCUGGAUACCCAUGUUGGCUCCCACAUGUUCCACGAUGAUCUCAUCGGAUGAACCACGAUGUCAAGGACUCAAUCAAUCCCGUAUACAAUUCCCUUUGUCUAGCGGUAUGGUACUUGCCCGAGAUUCGAUCGUCGGUAUACCGAUACCUUGUUCAAUCUCGUUACCGGCAAGUCUCUUUACUCAUUUCGUAACACAUCAUCCCGUGAUCAACCCCUUGGUCACAUUGUGCACAUUAUGAUGAUGUCCUACCGAGUGGGCCCAGAGAUACCUCUCCGUUUACACGGAGUGACAAAAUCCCAAUCUCGAUUCGUGCCAACCCAACAGACACUUUCAGAGAUACCCGUAGUGUACCUUUACAGCCACCCAGUUACGUUGUGACGUUUGGCACACCCAAAGCACUCCUACAGUAUCCGGGAGUUGCACAAUCUCAUGGUCUAAGGAAAUGAUACUUGACAUUAGAAAAGCUUUAGCAUACGAACUACAUGAUCUUGUGCUAGGCUUAGGAUUGGGUCUUGUCCAUCACAUCAUUCUCCUAAUGAUGUGAUCCCGUUAUCAACGACAUCCAAUGUCCAUGGUCAGGAAACCGUAACCAUCUAUUGAUUAACGAGCUAGUCAACUAGAGGCUUACUAGGGACAUGGUGUUGUCUAUGUAUCCACACAUGUAUCUAAGUUUCCUAUCAAUACAAUUCUAGCAUGGAUAAUAAACGAUUAUCAUGAACAAGGAAAUAUAAUAAUAAUCAAUUUAUUAUUGCCUCUAGGGCAUAUUUCCAACAGUCUCCCACUUGCACUAGAGUCAAUAAUCUAGUUCACAUCGAUAUGUGAUUAACACUCAAGGUCACAUUCCCAUGUGACUAACACCCAAGAGUUUACUAGAGUCAAUAAUCUAGUUCACAUUUACCAUGUGAUUAACACUUGAUGAGUUCUGGGUUUGAUCAUGUUAUGCUUGUGAGAGAGGUUAUAGUCAACGGGUCUGAACCUUUCAGAUCCGUGUGUGCUUUACAAAUCUCUAUGUCAUCUCCUAGAUGCAGCUACCACGUUCUAUUUGGAGCUAUUCCAAAUAACUGUUCUACUUGGAGCUAUUCUAAAUUGUUGCUCCAUUAUACGUAUCCGGUAUCUCUACUCAGAGCUAUCCGGAUAGGUGUUAAGCUUGCAUCGACGUAACCCUUUACGACGAACUCUUUUACCACCUCCAUAAUUGAGAAAAUUCCUUAGUCCACUAGUUACUAAGGAUAACUUUGACCGCUGUCCUGUGAUCCAUUCUUGGAUCACUCUUGUACCCCUUGACUGACUCAUGGUAAAGCACACUUCAGGUGCGGUACACAGCAUAGCAUACUGUAGAGCCUAUGUCUUAAGCAUAGGGGACGACCUUCGUUCCUUUCUCUCUAUUCUGCCAUGGUCGAGCUUUAAGUCUUAACUUCAUACCUUACAACUCAGGCAAGAACUCCUUCUUUGACUGAUCCAUCUUGAACACCUUCAAGAUCACGUCAAGGCAUGUGCUCACGUCAAGAUCACGUCGGUAUACCGAUACCUUGUUCAAUCUCGUUACCGGCAAGUCUCUUUACUCGUUCCGUAACACAUCAUCCCGUGAUCAACCCCUUGGUCACAUUGUGCACAUUAUGAUGAUGUCCUACCGAGUGGGCCCAGAGAUACCUCUCCGUUUACACGGAGUGACAAAAUCCCAAUCUCGAUUCGUGCCAACCCAACAGACACUUUCAGAGAUACCCGUAGUGUACCUUUAUAGCCACCCAGUUACGUUGUGACGUUUGGCACACCCAAAGCACUCCUACGGUAUCCGGGAGUUGCACAAUCUCAUGGUCUAAGGAAAUGAUACUUGACAUUAGAAAAGCUUUAGCAUACGAACUACAUGAUCUUGUGCUAGGCUUAGGAUUGGGUCUUGUCCAUCACAUCAUUCUCCUAAUGAUGUGAUCCCGUUAUCAACGACAUCCAAUGUCCAUGGUCAGGAAACCGUAACCAUCUAUUGAUUAACGAGCCAGUCAACUAGAGGCUUACUAGGGACAUGGUGUUGUCUAUGUAUCCACACAUGUAUCUGAGUUUCCUAUCAAUACAAUUCUAGCAUGGAUAAUAAACGAUUAUCAUGAACAAGGAAAUAUAAUAAUAAUCAAUUUAUUAUUGCCUCUAGGGCAUAUUUCCAACAGUCUCCCACUUGCACUAGAGUCAAUAAUCUAGUUCACAUCACCAUGUGAUUAACACUGACAGGUCACAUCACCAUGUGACCAACAUCCAAAGAGUCUUGGGUUUGAUCAUGUUGCUUGUGAGAGAGGUUAUAGUCAACGGGUCUGAACCUUUCAGAUCCGUGUGUGCUUUACAAAUCUCUAUGUCAUCUCCUAGAUGCAGCUACCACGUUCUAUUUGGAGCUAUUCCAAAUAACUGUUCUACUUGGAGCUAUUCUAAAUUGUUGCUCCAUUAUACGUAUCCGGUAUCUCUACUCAGAGCUAUCCGGAUAGGUGUUAAGCUUGCAUCGACGUAACCCUUUACGACGAACUCUUUUACCACCUCCAUAAUUGAGAAAAUUCCUUAGUCCACUAGUUACUAAGGAUAACUUUGACCGCUGUCCUGCGAUCCAUUCUUGGAUCACCCUUGUACCCCUUGACUGACUCAUGGUAAAGCACACUUCAGGUGCGGUACACAGCAUAGCAUACUGUAGAGCCUAUGUCUUAAGCAUAGGGGAUGACCUUCGUUCCUUUCUCUCUAUUCUGCCAUGGUCGAGCUUUAAGUCUUAACUUCAUACCUUACAACUCAGGCAAGAACUCCUUCUUUGACUGGUCCAUCUUGAACACCUUCAAGAUCAUGUCAAGGUAUGUGCUCAUUUGAAAGUACUAUUAAGCGUUUUGAUCUAUCCUUAUAGAUCUUGAUGCUCAAUGUUCAAGUAGCUUAAUCCAGGUUUUCCAUUGAAAACACUUUCCAAAUAACCCUAUAUGCUUUCCAGAAAUUCUACGUCAUUUCUGAUCAUUAAUAUGUCAACAACAUAUAAUCAUCAGAAAUUCUAUAGUGCUCCCACUCACUUCUUUGGAAAUACAAGUUUCUCAUAAACUUUGUAUACACCCAAAAUCUUUGAUCAUCAUCAAAGCAUACAUUCCAACUCCGAGAUGCUCACUCCAGUCCUCAGAAGGAUUGCUGGAGCUUUGCAUACUUAUUAGCAUAUUUCAGGAUAGACAAAACCUUCCAGUUGUAUCACAUACAACCUUUCCUCAAGAAUCGUCGACGAAACAAUGUUUUGACAUCCUAUCUGCAAGAUUUCAUAAAUAAUGCAGUAAUUGUUAAUAUAAUUCCAACAGACUCUUAGCAUCGCUACGAGUGAGAAAGUCUCAUUGUAGUCAACUCCUUGAACUUGUCAAAAAACAUCUUAACGACAAGUCGAGCUUUCUCAAUGGUGACACUUACCAUCAUUGUCUGUCUUCCUUUCAAAAUCCAUAUGUACCUAACAGCCUUACGACCAUCAAGUAGUUCUUCCAAAGUCUACACUUUGUUUUCAUACAUGGAUCCUCUCUCGGGUUUUAUGGCCAUGAGCCAUUUAUCGGAAUCCGGGCCCACCAUUGCUUCUCCAUAGCUCGUAGGUUCAUUGUUGUCUAGCAACAUGACUUCCAAGACAGGAUUACUGUACCACUCUGAAGUAGUACGUAUCCUUGUCACCCUACGAGGUUUGGGAGUGACUUGAUCUGAAGUUUCAUGAUCACUAUCAUAAGCUUCUACUUCAAUUGGUGUAGGUGCCACAGGAACAACUUCCUGUGCCCUGCUACACACUGGUUGAAGUGAUGGUUCAAUAACCUCAUCAAGUCUCCACCAUCCUCCCACUCAAUUCUUUCGAGAGAAACCUUUCCUCGAGAAAGGACCCAAUUCUAGAAACAAUUCAUAUUGCUUUCGGAUCUGAAUUAGGAAGUAUACCCAACUGUUUUGGGUGUCCUAUGAAGAUGUACUUUAUCCGCUUUGGUUUCGAGCUUAAUCCUGAAACUUUUUCACAUAAGUGUCGCAGCCCCAAACCUUUAAGAAACGACAACUUAGGUUUCUCUAAACCAUAAUUCAUACGGUGUCAUCUCAUCGGAAUUACGUGGUGCCCUAUUUAAAGUGAAUGUGGUUGUCUUUAAUGCCUAACCCAUAAACUAUCGUGGCAGUUCGAUAAGAGACAUCAUGGUAUGCAUCAUAUCCAAUAGGGUGCAACUAUGAUGUUCGGACACACCAUCACACUAUGGUGUUCCAGGCGGUAUUAAUUGUGAAACAAUUUCCACAAUGUCUUAAUUGUGUGCCAAAACUCGUAACUCAGAUACUCAUCUCUAUGAUCAUAUCAUAGACAUUUUAUCCUCUUGUCACAAUGAUCUUCUACUUCACUCUGAAAUUACUUGAACCAUUCAACAAUUCAGACUUGUGUUUCAUCAAGUAAAUAUUCUCAACAUCUACUCGAAUCAUCUGUGAAGUAAGAACAUAACGAUAUUCACUGCAUGCCUCAGCACUCAUUGGACUGCACACAUCAAAAUGUGUUACUUCCAACAAGUUGCUAUCUUGUUCCAUCUUACUGAAAACGAGGCUUUUCAGUCAUCUUGCCCAUGUGGUAUGAUUUGCAUGUCCCAAGUGAUUCAAAAAUCAAGUGAGUCAAAACGGUCCAUUUGCAUGGAGUUUCUUCAUGCAUAUACACCAAUAGACAUGGUUCGCAUGUCUCAAACUUUUCAAAAACGAGUGAGCCCAAAGAUCCAUCAAUAUGGAGCUUCUUCAUGCGUUUUAUACCGAUAUGACUUACGUGGUAGUGCCACAAGUAGGUGGUACUAUCAUUACUAUCUUUUGGCAUGAACAUGUGUAUCACUACGAUCGAGAUUUAAUAAACCAUUCAUUUUAGGUGUAAGACCAUUGAAGGUAUUAUUCAAAUAAACAGAGUAACCAUUAUUCUCCUUAAAUGAAUAACCGUAUUGCGAUAGACGUAAUCCAAUCAUGUCUAUGCUCAACGCAAACACCAAAUAACAAUUAUUUAGGUUUAACACCAAUCUCUUUGGUAGAGGGAGCGUGCGAUGCUUGAUCAUAUCAAGCAUGGAAAAACUUACAACACAUAUCGUCAGCUCACCUUUAGCUAGUCUCUGUUUAUUCCGUAGCCUUUUGUUUCGAGUUACUAACACUUAGCAACCGAACUGGUAUCUAAUACCCUGGUGCUACUAGGAGUACUAGCAAAGUACACAUUAACACAAUGUAUAUCCAAUAUACUUCUAUCGACCUUGCCAGCCUUCUUAUCUACCAAGUAUCUAGGGUAAUUCUGCUCUAGUAGUUGUUCCCCUUAUUACAGAAGCACUUAGUCUCGGGUUUGGGUUUUACCUUGGGUUUCUUCACUAGAGCAGCAGCUGAUUUGCCGUUUCAUGAAGUAUCCCUUCUUGCCCUUGCCCUUCUUGAAACUAGUGGUUCCACCAACCAUCAACAAUUGAUGCUCCUUCUUGAUUUCUACUUUCGCGGUGUCAAACAUCGCGAAUACCUCAAGGAUCAUCAUAUCUAUCCCUGAUAUGUUAUAGUUCAUCAUGAAGCUCUAACAGCUUGGUGGCAAUGACUUUGGAGAACCAUCACUAUCUCAUCUGGAAGAUCAACUCCCACUCGAUUCAAGCGAUUGUUGUACUCAGACAAUCUGAGCACAAGCUCAACGAUUGAGCUUUUCUCCCUUAGUUUGCAGGUUAAGAAAGUCAUCGGAGGUCUUAUACCUCUUGACAUGGGCACGAGCCUGAAAUCCCAAUUUCAGCCCUCAAAACAUCUCAUAUGUUUCGCGAUGUUUCAAAAACGUCUUUGGUGCCUCAACUCUAAACCGUUUAACUGAACUAUCACGUAGUUAUCAAAACGUGUAUGUCAGAUGUUCGCAACAACCACAGACAACGUUCGAGGUUCAGCACACUGAGCGGUGCAUUAAGGACAUAAGCCUUCUAUGAAGCAAUGAGGACAAUCCUCAGUUUACGGACCUAGUCCGCAUAAUUGCUACUAUCAACUUUCAACUAAUUUUUCUCUAGGAACAUAUCUAAACAGUAGAACUAUAGCGUGAGCUACGACAUAAUUUGCAAAAACCUUUUGACUAUGUUCAGGAUAAUUAAGUUCAUCUUAUGAACUCCCACUCAGAUAGACAUCCCUCUAGUCAUCUAAGUGAUUACAUGAUCCGAGUCAAACUAGGCCGUGUCCGAUCAUCACGUGAGACGGACUAGUCAUCAUCGGUGAACAUCUUCAUGUUGAUCGUAUCUUCUAUACGACUCAUGUUCGACCUUUCGGUCUUCGUGUUCCGAGGCCAUGUAUGUACAUGCUAGGCUCGUCAAGUUAACCCUAAGUGUUUCGCGUGUGUAAAUCUGUCUUACACCCGUUGUAUGUGAACGUUAGAAUCUAACACCCGAUCAUCACGUGGUGCUUCGAAACACGAACUGUCGCAACGGUGCACAGUUAGGGGAGAACACUUCUUGAAAUUGUUGUAAGGGAUCAUCUUAUUUACUACCGUCGUUCUAAGCAAAUAAGAUGUAUAAACAUGAUAAACAUCACAUGCAAUCAAAUAGUGACAUGAUAUGGCCAUCAUCACUUUGCUCCUUUUGAUCUCCAUCUUCGGGGCUCCAUGAUCAUCAUCGUCACCGGCAUGACACCAUGAUCUCCAUCAUCAUGAUCUCCAUCAUCGUGUCUUCAUGAAGUUGCCUCGCCAACUAUUACUUCUACUACUAUGGCUAACGGUUAGCAAUAAAGUAAAGUAAUUACAUGACGUUUAAGUUGACACGCAGGUCACAAAUGAAUAAAGACAACUCCUAUGGCUCCUGCCGGUUGUCAUACUCAUCGACAUGCAAGUCGUGAUUCCUAUUACAAGAACAUGAUCAAUCUCAUACAUCACAUAUAUCAUUCAUCACAUCCUUUUUGGCCAUAUCACAUCACAUAGCAUACCCUGCAAAAACAAGUUAGACGUCCUCUAAUUGUUGUUUGCAUGUUUUACGUGGCUGCUAUGGGUUUCUAGCAAGAACGUUUCUUACCUACGCAUGAACAACAACGUGAUAUGCCAAUUGCUAUUUACCCUUCAUAAGGACCCUUUUCAUCGAAUCCGAUCCGACUAAAGUGGGAGAGACAGACACCCGCCAGCCACCUUAUGCAACUAGUGCAUGUUUGUCGGUGGAACCGGUCUCACGUAAGCGUACGUGUAAGGUUGGUCCGGGCCGCUUCAUCCCACGAUGCCGCCGAAUCAAGAUAAGACUAGUAACGGCAAGCAUAUUGAACAAUAUCAACGCCCACAACUACUUUGUGUUCUACUCGUGCAAAGAAUCUACGCAAUAGACCUAGCUCAUGAUGCCACUGUUGGGGAACGUAGCAGAAAUUCAAAAUUUUCCUACGUGUCACCAAGAUCUAUCUAUGGAGAUACUAGCAACGAGGGAAGGAGAGUGCAUCUACAUACCCUUGUAGAUCGCUAAGCGGAAGCGUUCAAGUGAACGGGGUUGAUGGAGUCGUACUCGUCGUGAUUCAGAUCACCGAUGAUCCUAGUGCCGAACGGACGGCACCUCCGCGUUCAACACACGUACAGCUCGACGAUGUCUCCCACGCCUUGAUCCAGCAAGGAGAGAGGGAGAGGUUGAGGAAGACUCCAUCCAGCAGCAGCACAACGGCGUGGUGGUGAUGGAGGAGCGUGGCAAUCCUGCAGGGCUUCGCCAAGCACCUACGGGAGAGGAGGAGGUGUCACGGGAGGGAGGGAGGCGCCAAGGGCUCAGGUAUAGAUGCCCUCCCUCCCCUCCACUAUAUAUAGGGGCAAGGGAGAGGGGGAGGCGCAUCCUUGCCCCUUCCUCCAAGGAAGGGGUGCGGCUAAGAGGGGGGGAGGAGUCCAUCCUCCCCAAGGCACCUCGGAGGUGCCUUCCCCCUUUAGGACUCUCCCCUUUUUCCUAUAUCUUGGCGCAUGGGCCUCUAGGGGCUGGUGCCCUUGGCCCAUGUAGGCCAAGGCGCACCCCCCUACAGCCCAUGUGGCCCCCCGGGGCAGGUGGCCCCACCCGGUGGGCCCCCGGGACCCUUCCGGUGGUCCCGGUACAAUACCGAUGACCCCGAAACUUGUCCCGAUGGCCGAAACAGGACUUCCUAUAUAUAAAUCUUUACCUCCGGACCAUUCCGGAACUCCUCGUGACGUCCGGGAUCUCAUCCGGGACUCCGAACAACAUUCGGUAACCACAUACAAACUUCCUUUAUAACCCUAGCGUCAUCGAACCUUAAGUGUGUAGACCCUACGGGUUCGGGAGACAUGUAGUCAUGACCGAGAUGUUCUCCGGUCAAUAACCAACAGCGGGAUCUGGAUACCCAUGUUGGCUCGCACAUGUUCCACGAUGAUCUCAUCGGAUGAACCACGAUGUCAAGGACUCAAUCAAUCCCGUAUACAAUUCCCUUUGUCUAGCGGUAUGGUACUUGCCCGAGAUUCGAUCGUCGGUAUACCGAUACCUUGUUCAAUCUCGUUACCGGCAAGCCUCUUUACUCGUUCCGUAACACAUCAUCCCGUGAUCAACCCCUUGGUCACAUUGUGCACAUUAUGAUGAUGUCCUACCGAGUGGGCCCAGAGAUACCUCUCCGUUUACACGGAGUGACAAAAUCCCAAUCUCGAUUCGUGCCAACCCAACAGACACUUUCAGAGAUACCCGUAGUGUACCUUUAUAGCCACCCAGUUACGUUGUGACGUUUGGCACACCCAAAGCACUCCUACGGUAUCCGGGAGUUGCACAAUCUCAUGGUCUAAGGAAAUGAUACUUGACAUUAGAAAAGCUUUAGCAUACGAACUACAUGAUCUUGUGCUAGGCUUAGNNNNNNNNNNUGAUCAACCCCUUGGUCACAUUGUGCACAUUAUGAUGAUGUCCUACCGAGUGGGCCCAGAGAUACCUCUCCGUUUACACGGAGUGACAAAAUCCCAAUCUCGAUUCGUGCCAACCCAACAGACAUUUUCAGAGAUACCCGUAGUGUACCUUUAUAGCCACCCAGUUACGUUGUGACGUUUGGCACACCCAAAGCACUCCUACGGUAUCCGGGAGUUGCACAAUCUCAUGGUCUAAGGAAAUGAUACUUGACAUUAGAAAAGCUUUAGCAUACGAACUACAUGAUCUUGUGCUAGGCUUAGGAUUGGGUCUUGUCCAUCACAUCAUUCUCCUAAUGAUGUGAUCCCGUUAUCAACGACAUCCAAUGUCCAUGGUCAGGAAACCGUAACCAUCUAUUGAUUAACGAGCUAGUCAACUAGAGGCUUACUAGGGACAUGGUGUUGUCUAUGUAUCCACACAUGUAUCUGAGUUUCCUAUCAAUACAAUUCUAGCAUGGAUAAUAAACGAUUAUCAUGAACAAGGAAAUAUAAUAAUAAUCAAUUUAUUAUUGCCUCUAGGGCAUAUUUCCAACAAGAAACGGGGAACAAACUGAUGAAAGAAUGAUCAUACCGAGGGAAUUCACUCAGAACUAACAAGAAUGAUAACGUGCUUUGACUGGAGCGGUUUAAAAACUGCUGGAAGGCUCUAGGGGAAUAAAGAUGGAAUGCCUUCAAAUUUCUAGGUCCGUAUGAUUUGAAAUACUUGCACACAAACCGCGCGAAAGCGUUCCUGGAAAUCUCAGCCCAAAAAAGGACGUUUAGUAAUUCUAAAAGGGACUACAGAAUGAAAAACAAUAGUUUUGGCAGUUAAAGUUUGAGAUUCGAUGGUGCCGUAGAUCCGUUUGGUCAUCAGGUGUAACGAGCCACACCCAUGUCUAGCUAGAGUAGUGUGCUAGGCUCAGGCUAGAGAAGAAACGGGGAACAAACUGAUGAAAGAAUGAUCAUACCGAGGGAAUUCACUCAGAACUAACAAGAAUGAUAACGUGCUCCGACUGGAGCGGUUUAGGAACUGCUGGAAGGCUCUAGGGGAAGAAAGAAGGAAUGACUUCUAAUUUUUAGGUCCGUAUGAUUUGAAAUACGUGCACACAAACCGCGCGAAAGCGUUCCUGGAAAUCUCAGCCCAAAAAAGGACGUUUAGUAUUCUAAAAGGGACUACAGAAUGAAAAACAAUAGUUUUGGCAGUUAAAGUUUGAGAUUCGACGGUGCCGUAGAUCCGUUUGGUCAUCAGGUGUUACGAGCCACACCCAUGUCUAGCUAGAAUAGUGUGCNNNNNNNNNNNNNNNNNNNNNNNNNCGUAUGAUUUGAAAUACGUGCACACAAACCGCGCGAAAGCGUUCCUGGAAAUCUCAGCCCAAAAAAGGACGUUUAGUAUUCUAAAAGGGACUACAGAAUGAAAAACAAUAGUUUUGGCAGUUAAAGUUUGAGAUUCGACGGUGCUGUAGAUCCGUUUGGUCAUCAGGUGUUACGAGCCACACCCAUGUCUAGCUAGAAUAGUGUGCUAGGCUCAGGCUAGAGAAGAAAAGGGGAACAAACUAAUGAAAGAAUGAUCAAUACGAGGGAAUUCACUCAGAACUAACAAUAAUGAUAACGUGCUCCGACUGGAGCGGUUUAGGAACUGCUGGAAGGCUCUAGGCGAAUAAAGAUGGAAUGACUUCUAAUUUUUACGUCCGUAUGAUUUGAAAUACUUGCACACAAACCACGCAAAAGCGUUCCUGGAAAUCUCGGCCUAAAAAGGACGUUUAGUAAUUCUAAAAGGGACUACAGGAUGAAAAAUAAUAGUUUGGGCAGUUAAAAUUUGAGAUUCGACGGUGCCGUAGAUCCGUUUGGUCAUCAGGUGUUACGAGCCACACCCAUGUCUAGCUAGAAUAGUGUGUUAGGCUCAGGCUAGAGAAGAAACGAGGAACAAACUGAUGAAAGAAUGAUCAUACCAAGGGAAUUCACUCAGAACUAACAAGAAUGAUAACGUGCUCCGACUGGAGCAGUUUAGAAACUGCUGGAAGGCUCUAGGGGAAUAAAGAUGGAAUGACUUCUGAUUUUUAGGUCCGUAUGAUUUGAAAUACGUGCACACAAACCCCGCGAAAGCGUUCCUGGAAAUCUCAGCCCAAAAAAGGACGUUUAGUAAUUCUAAAAGGGACUACAACAUGAAAAACAAUAGUUUUGGCAGUUAAAGUUUGAGAUUUCAUGGUGCCGUAGAUCUGUUUGGUCAUCAGGUGUUACGAGCCACACCCAUGUCUAGCUAGAAUAGUGUGUUAGGCUCAGGCUAGAAAAGAAACGGGAAACAAAGUGAUGAAAGAAUGACCAUACCGAGGGAAUUCACUCAGAACUAACAAGAAUGAUAACAUGCUCCGACUUGAGCGGUUUAGGAACUGCUGGAAGGCUCUAGGGGAAUAAAGAUGGAAUGACUUCUAAUGUUUAGGUCCGUAUGAUUUGAAAUACUUGCACAUAAACCGCACAAAAGCGUUCCUGGAAAUCUCAGCCCAAAAAAGGACGUUUAGUAAUUCUAAAAGGGACUACAGGAUGAAAAACAAUAGUUUUGGCAGUUAAAGUUUGAGAUUCGACGGUGCCGUAGAUCCGUUUGGUCAUCAGGUGUUACGAGCCACACCCAUGUCUAGCUAGAAUAGUGUGUUAGGCUCAGGCUAGAGAAGAAACUUGGAACAAACUGAUGAAAGAAUGAUCAAACCAACGGAAUUCACUCAGAACUAACAAUAAUGAUAACGUGCUCCGACUGGAGCAGUUUAGGAACUGCUGGAAGGCUCUAGGGGAAUAAAGAUGGAAUGACUUCUAAUUUUUAGGUCCGUAUGAUUUGAAAUACUUGCACGCAAACCGCGCGAAAGCGUUCCUGGAAAUAUCAGCCCAAAAAAGGACGUUUAGUAAUUCUAAAAGGGACUACAGGAUGAAAACAAUAGUUUUGGCAGUUAAAGUUUGAGAUUCAACAGUGCCGUAGAUCCGUUUGGUCAUCAGGUGUUAUGAGCCAUACCCAUGUCUAGCUAGAGUAGUGUGCUAGGCUCAGGCUAGAGAAGAAACAGGGAACAAACUGAUGAAAGAAUGAUCAUACCGAGGGAAUUCACUCAGAACUAACAAGAAUGAUAACGUGCUCCGACUGGAGCGGUUUAGGAACUGCUGGAAGGCUCUAGGGGAAUAAAGAUGGAGUGACUUCUAAAUUUUUAGGUCCGUAUGAUUUAAAAUACUUGCACACAAACCGCACGAAAGCGUUCCUUGAAAUCUCAGCCCAAAAAAGGACGUUUAGUAAGUCUAAAAGGGACUAUAGGAUGAAAAACAAUAGUUUUGGCAGUUAAAGUUUGAGAUUCGAUGGUGCCGUAGAUCUGUUUGGUCAUCAGGUGUUACGAGCCACACCCAUGUCUAGUUGGAAUAGUGUGCUAGGCUCAGACUAGAGAAGAAACAGGGAACAAACUGAUGAAAGAAUGAUCAAACCGAGGAAAUUCACUCAGAACUAACAAUAAUGAUAACAUGCUCCGACUGGAGCGGUUUAGGAACUGCUGGAAGGCUCUAGGGGAAUAAAGAUGGAAUGACUUCUAAAUUUUUAGGUCCGUAUGAUUUGAAAUAGUUGCACACAAACUGCGCGAAAGCGUUCCUGGAAAUCUCAGCCCAAAAAAGGACGUUUAGUAAUUCUAAAAGGGACUAUAGGAUGAAAAACAAUAGUUUUGGCAGUUAAAGUUUGAGAUUCGACGGUGCCGUAGAUCCGUUUGGUCAUCACGUGUUACAAGCCACACCCAUGUCUAGCUAGAGUAGUGUGCUAGGCUCAGACUAUAGAAGAAACGGGGACCAAACUGAUGAAAGAAUGAUCAAACCGAGGAAAUUCACUCAGAACUAACAAUAAUGAUAACAUGCUCCGACUGGAGCGGUUUAGGAACUACUGGAAGGCUCUAGGGGAAUAAAGAUGGAAUGACUUCUAAAUUUUUAGGUCCGUAUGAUUUUAAAUAGUUGCACACAAACUGCGCGAAAGCGUUCCUGGAAAUCUCAGCCCAAAAAAGGACGUUUAGUAAUUCUAAAAGGGACUACAGGAUGAAAAACAAUAGUUUGGGCAGUUAAAAUUUGAGAUUCGACGGUGCCGUAGAUCCGUUUGGUCAUCAGGUGUUACGAGCCACACCCAUGUCUAGCUAGAGUAGUGUGCUAGGCUCAGGCUAGAGAAGAAACAGGGAACAAACUGAUGAAAGAAUGAUCAUACCGAGGGAAUUCACUCAGAACUAACAAGAAUGAUAACGUGCUCUGACUGGAGCGGUUUAAGAACUGUUGGAAGGCUCUAGGGGAAUAAAGAUGGAAUCACUUCAAAUUUUUACGUCCGUGUGAUUUGAAAUACUUGCACACAAACCGCACGAAAGCGUUCCUGGAAAUCUCAGCCCAAAAAAGGACGUUUAGUAAGUCUAAAAGGGACUACACGAUGAAAAACAAUAGUUUUGGCAGUUAAAGUUUGAGAUUCGACAGUGCCGUAGAUCCGUUUGGUCAUCAGGUGUAACGAGCCACACCCAUGUCUAGAUAGAGUAGUGUGCUAGGCUCAAACUAGAGAAGAAACGGGGAACAAACUGAUGAAAGAAUGAUCAUACCGAGGGAAUUCACUCAGAAAUAACAAGAAUGAUAACGUGCUCUGACUGGAGCGGUUUAGGAACUGCUGGAAGGCUCUAGGGGAAUAAAGAAGGAAUGACUUCUAAUUUUUAGGUCCGUAUGAUUUGAAAUACGUGCACACAAACCCCGAGAAAGCGUUCCUGGAAAUCUCGACCCAAAAAAGGACGUUUAGUAAUUCUAAAAGGGACUACGGGAUGAAAAACAAUAGUUUUGGCAGUUAAAGUUUGAGAUUCGAUAAUGCCGUAGAUCCAUUUGGUCAUCAGGUGUAACGAGCCACACCCAUGUCUAGCUAGAGUAGUGUGCUAGGCUCAGACUAGAGAAGAAACAGGGAACAAACUGAUGAAAGAAUGAUCAUAUCGAGGGAAUUCACUCAGAACUAACAAGAAUGAUAACAUGCUCCGACUUGAGCGGUUUAGGAACUGCUGGAAGGCUCUAGGGGAAUAAAGAUGGAAUGACUUCUAAUUUUUAGGUCCGUAUGAUUUGAAAUACUUACACACAAACCACGCGAAAGCGUUCCUGGAAAUCUCAGCCCAAAAAAGGACGUUUAGUAAUUCUAAAAGGGACUACAUGAUGAAAAACAAUAGUUUUCGCAGUUAAAGUUUGAGAUUCGACGGUGCCGUAGAUCCGUUUGGUCAUCAAGUGUUACGAGCCACACCCAUGUCUAGCUAGAAUAGUGUGUUAGGCUCAGCCUAGAGAAGAAACGGGGAACAAACUGAUGAAAGAAUGAUCAUACCGAGGGAAUUCACUCAGAACUUACAAGAAUGAUAACGUGCUCCGACUUGAGCGGUUUAAGAACUGUUGGAAGGCUCUAGGGGAAUAAAGAUGGAAUCACUUCAAAUUUUUACGUCCGUGUGAUUUGAAAUACUUGCACACAAACCCCGAGAAAGCGUUCCUGGAAAUCUCGGCCGAAAAAAGGAUGUUUAAUAAUUCUAAAAGGGACUACAGGAUGAAAAACAAUAGCUUUGGCAGUUAAAGUUUGUGAUUCGAUGGUGCCGUAGAUCUGUUUGGUCAUCAGGUGUUAUGAGCCACACCCAUGUCUAGCUAGAAUAGUGUGUUAGGCUCAGGCUAGAGCAGAAACUAGGAACAAACUUAUGAAAGAAUGAUCAUACCGAGGGAAUUCACUCAGAACUAACAAGAAUGAUAACGUGCUCCGACUGGAGCGGUUUAGGAACUGCUGGAAGGCUCUAGGGGAAUAAAGAUGGAAUGACUUCUAAUUUUUAGGUCCGUAUGAUUUGAAAUACAUGCACACAAACCCCAAGAAAGCGUUCCUAGAAAUCUCAGCCCAAAAAGGACGUUUAGUAAUUCUAAAAGGGACUACAGGAUGAAAAACAAUAGGUUUGGCAGUUAAAGUUUGAGAUUCGAUAAUGCCGUAGAUCCGUUUGGUCAUCAGGUGUAACGAGCCACACCCAUGUCUAGCUACAUUAGUGUGCUAGGCUCAGACUAGAGAAGAAACGGGGAACAAACUGAUGAAAGAAUGAUCAUACCGAGGGAAUUCACUCAGAACUAACAAGAACGAUAACAUGCUCCGACUGCAGCGGUUUAGGAACUGCUGGAAGGCUCUAGGGGAAUAAAGAAGGAAUGACUUCUAAUUUUUAGGUCCGUAUGAUUUGAAAUACUUGCACACAAACCGCGCGAAAGCAUUCCUGGAAAUCUCAGCCCAAAAAAGGACGUUUAGUAAUUCUAAAAGGGACUACAGGAUGAAAAACAAUAAUUUUGGCAGUUAAAGUUUGAGAUUCGACGGUGCCGUAGAUCCGUUUGGUCAUCAGGUGUUACGGGCCAUACCCAUGUCUAGCUAGAAUAGUGUGUUAGGCUCAGGUUAGAGAAGAAACGGGGAACAAAGUGAUGAAAGAAUGAUCAUACCGAGGGAAUUCACUCAGAACUAACAAGAAUGAUAACGUGCUCCGACUGGAGCGGUUUAGGAAUUGCUGGAAGGCUCUAGGGGAAUAAAGAUGGAAUGACUUCUAUAUUUUACGUCCGUAUGAUUUGAAAUACUUGCACACAAACCACGCAAAAGCACUCCUGGAAAUAUCAGCCUAAAAAGGAUGUUUAGUAAUUCUAAAAGGGACUACAGGAUGAAAAAUAAUAGUUUUGGCAGUUAAAAUUUGAGAUUCAACGGUGCCGUAAAUCCGUUUGGUCAUCAGGUGUUACGAGCCACACCCAUGUCUAGCUAGAAUAGUGUGUUAGGCUCAGGUUAGAGAAGAAACGGGGAACAAACUGAUGAAAGAAUGAUCAUACAAGGGGAAUUCACUCAGAACUAUCAAGAAUGAUAACGUGCUCCGACUGGAGCAGUUUAGGAACUGCCGGAAGGCUCUAGGGGAAUAAAGAUGGAAUGACUUCUAAUUUUUAUGUCCGUAUGAUUUGAAAUACUUGCACACAAACCACGCAAAAGCGUUCCUGGAAAUCUCAGCCUAAAAAGGACGUUUAGUAAUUCUAAAAGGGACUACAGGAUGAAAAACAAUAGUUUGGGCAGUUAAAAUUCGAGAUUCGACGGUGCCGUAGAUCCGUUUGGUCAUCAGGUGUUACGAGCCACACCCAUGUCUAGCUAGAAUAGUGUGUUAGGCUCAGGCUAGAGAAGAAACGGGGAACAAACUGAUGAAAGAAUGAUCAUAUCGAGGGAAUUCACUCAGAACUAACAAGAAUGAUAACGUGCUCCGACUGGAGCGGUUUAGUAACUGCUGGAAGGCUCUAGGGGAAUAAAGAUGGAAUGACUUCUAAUUAUUAGGUCCGUAAGAUUUGAAUUACAUGCACACAAACCCCGAGAAAGCGUUCCUGGAAAUCUCGGUCGAAAAAAGGAUGUUUAGUAAUUCUAAAAGGGACUACAGGAUGAAAAACAAUAGUUUUGGCAGUUAAAGUUUGUGAUUCGAUGGUGCCGUAGAUCUGUUUGGUCAUCAGGUGUUACGAGCCACACCCAUGUCUAGCUAGAAUAGUGUGUUAGGCUCAGGCUAGAGCAGAAACGGGGAACAAACUUAUGAAAGAAUGAUCAUGCCGAGGGAAUUCACUCAGAACUAACAAGAAUGAUAACGUGCUCCGACUGGAGCGGUUUAGGAACUGCUGGAAGGCUCUAGGGGAAUAAAGAUGGAAUGACAUCAAAUUUUUAGGUCCGUAUGAUUUGAAAUACUUGCACACAAACCGCAAGAAAGCGUUCUUGGAAAUCUCCGCCCAAAAAAGGACGUUUAGUAAUUCUAAAAGGGUCUACAGGAUGAAAAACAAUAGUUCUGGCAGUUAAAGUUUGAGAUUCGAUAAUGUCGUAGAUCCGUUUGGUCAUCAGGCGUAACGAGCCACACCCAUUUCUAGCUAGAGUAGUGUGCUAGGCUCAGACUAGAGAAGAAACGGGGAACAACCUGAUGAAAGAAUGAUCAUACCGAGGGAAUUCACUCAGAACUAACAAGAAUGAUAACGUGCUCCGACUGGAGCGGUUUAGGAACUGCUGGAAGGCUCUACGGGAAUAAAGAAGGAAUGACUUCUAAUUUUUAGGUCCGUAUGAUUUGAAAUACGUGCACACAAACCCCGAGAAAGCGUUCCUGGAAAUCUCGGCCCAAAAAAGGACGUUUAGUAUUCUAAAAGCGACUACAGAAUGAAAAACAAUAGUUUUGGUAGUUAAAGUUUGAGAUUUAACGGUGCCGUAGAUCUGUUUGGUCAUCAGGUGUUACGAGCCACACCCAUGUCUAGCUAGAAUAGUGUGUUAGGCUCAGGCUAGAUAAGAAACAGGGAACAAAGUGAUGAAAGAAUGAUCAUACCAAGGGAAUUCACUCAGAACUAACAAGAACGAUAACAUGCUCCGACUGGAGUGGUUUAGGAACUGCUGGAAGGCUCUAGGGGAAUAAAGAUGGAAUGACUUCUAAUUUUUAGGUCUGUAUGAUUUGAAAUACUUGCACACAAACCGCACGAAAGCGUUCCUGGAAAUCUCAUCCCAAAAAAGGACGUUUAGUAAUUCUAAAAGGGACUACAGGAUGAAAAACAAUAGUUUUGGCAGUUAAAGUUUGAGAUUCGAUAAUGCUGUAGAUCCGUUUGGUCAUCAGGUGUAACGAGCCACACCCAUGUCUAGCUAGAGUAGUGUGCUAGGCUCAGACUAGAGAAGAAACGGGGAACAAACUGAUGAAAGAAUGAUCAUACCGAGGGAAUUCACUCAGAACUAACAAUAAUGAUAACGUGCUCCGACUGGAGCGGUUUAGGAACUGCUGGAAGGCUCUAGGGGAAUAAAGAUGGAAUGAGUUCUAAUUUUUAGGUCUGUAUGAUUUGAAAUACUUGCACACAAACCGCGUGAAAGCAUUCCUGGAAAUUUCAGCCCAAAAAAGGACGUUUAGUAAUUUUAAAAGGGACUACACGAUGAAAAACAAUAGUUUUGGCAGUUAAAGUUUGAGAUUCGACGGUGCCGUAGAUCCGUUUGGUCAUCAGGUGUUACGAGCCACACCCAUGUCUAGCUAGAAUAGUAUGUUAGGCUCGGGUAAGAGAAGAAACGGGGAACAAACUGAUGAAAGAAUGAUCAUACCAAGGGAAUUCACUCAGAACUAACAAGAAUGAUAACGUGCUCCGACUGGAGCGGUUUAGGAACUGCUGGAAGGCUCUAGGGGAAUAAAGAUGGAAUGACUUCUAAUUUUUACGUUCGUAUGAUUUGAAAUACUUGCACACAAACCACGCAAAAGCGUUCCUGGAAAUCUCAUCCUAAAAAAGGACGUUUAGUAAUUCUAAAAGGGACUACAGGAUGAAAAAUAAUAGUUUGGGCAGUUAAAAUUUGAGAUUCGACGGUGCCGUAGAUCCGUUUGGUCAUCAGGUGUUACGAGCCACACCCAUGUCUAGCUAGAAUAGUGUGUUAGGCUCAGGCUAGAGAAGAAACGGGGAACAAACUGAUGAAAGAAUGAUCAUAUCGAGGGAAUUCACUCAGAACUAACAAGAAUGAUAACGUGCUCCGACUGGAGCAGUUUAGAAACUGCUGGAAGGCUCUAGGGGAAUAAAGAUGGAAUGACUUCUAAUUUUUAGGUCUGUAUGAUUUGAAAUACGUGCACACGAACCCCGAGAAAGCGUUCCUGGAAAUCUCGGCCCAAAAAAGGACGUUUAGUAAUUCUAAAAGGGACUACAGGAUGAAAAACAAUAGUUUUGGCAGUUAAAGUUUGAGAUUCGACGGUGCCGUAGAUCCGUUUGUUCAUCAGGUGUUACGAGCCACACCCAUGUCUAGCUAGAAUAGUGUGUUAGGCUCAGGCUAGAGAAGAAACGGGGAACAAACUGAUGAAAGAAUGAUCAUACCGAGGGAAUUCACUCAGAACUAACAAGAAUGAUAACGUGCUCCGACUGGAGCGGUUUAGGAACUGCUAGAAGGCUCUAGGGGAAUAAAGAAGGAAUGACUUCUAAUUUUUAGGUCCGUAUGAUUUGAAAUACGUGCACACAAACCCCGAGAAAGCGUUCCUGGAAAUCUUGGCCCAAAAAAGGACGUUUAGUAUUCUAAAAGCGACUACAGAAUGAAAAACAAUAGUUUUGCUAGUUAAAGUUUGAGAUUUGAUGGUGCCGUAGAUCUGUUUGGUCAUCAGGUUUUACGAGCCACACCCAUGUCUAGCUAGAAUAGUGUGUUAGGCUCAGGCUAGAAAAGAAACAGGGAAUAAAGUGAUGAAAGAAUGAUCAUACCAAGGGAAUUCACUCAGAACUAACAAGAACGAUAACAUGCUCCGACUGGAGUGGUUUAGAACUGCUGGAAGGCUAAAGGGGAAUAAAGAUGGAAUGACUUCUAAUUUUUAGGUCCGUAUGAUUUGAAAUACUUGCACACAAACCGCACGAAAGUGUUCCUGGAAAUCUCAGCCCAAAAAAGGACGUUUAGUAAUUCUAAAAGGGACUACAGGAUGAAAAACAAUAGUUUUGGCAGUUAAAGUUUGAGAUUCGAUAAUGACGUAGAUCCGUUUGGUCAUCAGGUGUAACGAGCCACACCCAUGUCUAGCUAGAGUAGUGUGCUAGGCUCAGACUAGAGAAGAAACGGGGAACAAACUGAUGAAAGAAUGAUCAUACCGAGGGAAUUCACUCAGAACUAACAAUAAUGAUAACGUGCUCCGACUAGAGCGGUUUAGGAACUGCUGGAAGGCUCUAGGGGAAUAAAGAUGGAAUGACUUCUAAUUUUUAGGUCCCUAUGAUUUGAAAUACUUGCACACAAACCGCGUGAAAGCAUUCCUGGAAAUUUCAGCCCAAAAAAGGACGUUUAGUAAUUUUAAAAGGGACUACACGAUGAAAAAGAAUAGUUUUGGCAGUUAAAGUUUGAGAUUCGACGGUGCCGUAGAUCCGUUUGGUCAUCAGGUGUUACGAGACACACCCAUGUCUAGCUAGAAUAGUAUGUUAGGCUCGGGUUAGAGAAGAAACGGGGAACAAACUGAUGAAAGAAUGAUCAUACCAAGGGAAUUCACUCAGAACUAACAAGAAUGAUAACGUGCUCCGACUGGAGCGGUUUAGGAACUGCUGGAAGGCUCUAGGGGAAUAAAGAUGGAAUGACUUCUAAUUUUUACGUUCGUAUGAUUUGAAAUACUUGCAAACAAACCACGCAAAAGCGUUCCUGGAAAUUUCAUCCUAAAAAAGGACGUUUAGUAAUUCUAAAAGGGACUACAGGAUGAAAAAUAAUAGUUUGGGCAGUUAAAAUUUGAGAUUCGAUGGUGCCGUAGAUCCGUUUGGUCAUCAGGUGUUACGAGCCACACCCAUGUCUAGCUAGAAUAGUGUGUUAGGCUCAGGCUAGAGAAGAAACGGGGAACAAACUGAUGAAAGAAUGAUCAUAUCGAGGGAAUUCACUCAGAACUAACAAGAAUGAUAACGUGCUCCGACUGGAGCAGUUUAGAAACUGCUGGAAGGCUCUAGGGGAAUAAAGAUGGAAUGACUUCUAAUUUUUAGGUCUGUAUGAUUUGAAAUACGUGCACACAAACCCCGAGAAAGCGUUCCUGGAAAUCUCGUCCGGAAAAAGGAUGUUUAAUAAUUCUAAAAGGGACUACAGGAUGAAAAACAAUAGUUUUGGCAGUUAAAGUUUGUGAUUCGAUGGUGCCGUAGAUCUGUUUGGUCAUCAGGUGUUACGGGCCACACCCAUGUCUAGCUAGAAUAGUGUGUUAGGCUCAGGCUAGAGCAGAAACGGGGAGCAAACUUAUGAAAGAAUGAUCAUAGCGAGGGAAUUUACUCAGAACUAACAAGAAUGAUAACGUGCUCCGACUGGAGCGGUUUAGGAACUGCUGGAAGGCUCUAGGGGAAUAAAGAUGGAAUGACUUCAAAUUUUCAGGUAUGUAUGAUCUGAAAUACUUGCACACAAACCGCGAGAAAGCGUUCCUGGAAAUCUCAACCCAAAAAAGGAUGUUUAGUAAUUCUAAAAGGGACUACAGGAUUAAAAACAAUAGUUUUGGCAGUUAAAGUUUGAGAUUCGAUAAUGUCGUAGAUCCGUUUGGUCAUCAGGUGUAACGAGCCACACCCAUGUCUAGCUAGAGUAGUGUGCUAGGCUCAUACUAGAGAAGAAACGGGGAACAAACUGAUGAAAGAAUGAUCAUACCGAGGGAAUUCACUCAGAACUAACAAGAAUGAUAACGUGCUCCGACUGGAGCGGUUUAGGAACUGCUGGAAGGCUCUAGGGGAAUAAAGAUGGAAUGACUUCUUAUUUUUAGGUCCGUAUGAUUUGAAAUACAUGCACACAAACCCCAAGAAAGCGUUCCGGGAAAUCUCGGCCCAAAGAAUGAUGUUUAGUAAUUCUAAAAGGGACUAUAGAAUGAAAAACAAUAGUUUUGGCAGUUAAAGUUUGAGAUUUGACGGUGUCGUAGAUCUGUUUGGUCAUCAGGUGUUACGAGCCACACCCAUUUCUAGCUAGAAUAGUGUGUUAGGCUCAGGCUAGAAAAGAAACGGGGAACAAAGUGAUGAAAGAAUGAUCAUACCGAGGGAAUUCACUCAGAACUAACAAGAAUGAUAACAUGCUCCGACUAGAGCGGUUUAGGAACUGCUGGAAGGCUCUAGGGGAAUAAAUAUGGAAUGACUUCUAAUUUUCAGGUCCGUAUGAUUUGAAAUACUUGCACACAAACCGCGCGAAAGCGUUCCUGGAAAUCUCAUCCCAAAGAAGGUCGUUUAGUAAUUCUAAAAGGGACUACAGGAUGAAAAACAAUAGUUUUGGCAAUUUAAGGUUUGAGAUUCGACGGUGCCGUAGAUCCGUUUGGUCAUCAGGUGUUACGAGCCACACCCAUGUCUAGCUAGAAUAGUGUGCUAGGCUCAGGCUAGAGAAGAAACAGGGAACAAACUGAUGAAAGAAUGAUCAAACCGAGGGAAUUCACUCAGAACUAACAAUAAUGAUAACGUUCUCCGUCUGGAGCGGUUUAGGAACUGCUGGAAGGCUCUAGGGGAAUAAAGAUGGAAUGACUUCUAAUUUUUAGGUCCGUAUGAUUUGAAAUACUUGCACACAAACCGCGCCAAAUCGUUCCUGGAAAUCUCAGCCCAAAAAAGGACGUUUAGUAAUUCUAAAAGGGACUACAGGAUGAAAAACAAUAGUUUUGGCAGUUAAAGUUUGAGAUUCGAUGGUGCCGUAGACCCGUUUGGUCAUCAGGUGUUACGAGCCACACCCAUGUCUAGCUAGAGUAGUGUGCUAGGUUCAGACUAGAGAAGAAACAGGGAACAAAGUGAUGAAAGAAUGAUCAUACCGAGGGAAUUCACUCAGAACUAACAAGAAUGAUAACGUGCUCCGACUGGAGCGGUUUAGGAACUGCUGGAAGGCUCUAGGGGAAUAAAGAUGGAAUGACUUCUAAUUUUUACGUCCGUAUGAUUUGAAAUACUUGCACACAAACCACGCAAAAGCGUUCCUGGAAAUCUCAGCCUAAAAAAGGACGUUUAGUAAUUCAAAAAGGGACUACAAAAUGAAAAACAAUAGUUUUGGCAGUUAAAGUUUGAGAUUCGAUGGUGCCGUAGAUCCGUUUGGUCAUCAGGUGUUACGAGCCACACCCAUGUCUAGCUAGGAUAGUGUGUUAGGCUCAGGCUAGAGAAGAAACGGGGAACAAACUGAUGAAAGAAUGAUCAUACCGAGGGAAUUCACUCAGAACUAACAAGGAUGAUAACAUGCUCCGACUAGAGCGGUUUAGGAACUGCUGGAAGGCUCUAGGGGAAUAAAGAUGGAAUGACUUCUAAUUUUUAGGUCCGUAUGAUUUGAAAUACUUGCACACAAACCGCAAGAAAGCGUUCCUGGAAAUCUCAGCCCAAAAAAGGACGUUUAGUAAUUCUAAAAGGGACUACAGGAUGAAAAACAAUAGUUCUGGCAGUUAAAGUUUGAGAUUCGAUAAUGCCGUAGAUCUGUUUGGUCAUCAGGUGUAACGAGCCACACCCAUGUCUAGCUAGAGUAGUGUGCUAGGCUCAGACUAGAGAAGAAACGGGGAACAAACUGAUGAAAGAAUGAUUAUACCGAGGGAAUUCACUCAGAACUAACGAGAAUGAUAACGUGCUCCGACUGGAGCGGUUUAGGAACUGCUGGAAGGCUCUAGGGGAAUAAAGAUGGAAUGACUUCAAAUUUUUAGGUCUGUAUGAUUUGAAAUACUUGCACACAAACCGCAAGAAAGCGUUCCUUGAAAUCUCAGCCCAAAAAAGGACGUUUAGUAAUUCUAAAAGGGACUACAGGAUGAAAAACAAUAGUUCUGGCAGUUAAAGUUUGAGAUUCGAUAAUGUCGUAGAUCCGUUUGGUCAUCAGGUGUAACGAGCCACACCCAUGUCUAGCUAGAGUAGUGUGCUAGGCUCAGAAUAGAGAAGAAACGGGGAACAAACUGAUGAAAGAAUGAUCAUACCGAGGGAAUUCACUCAGAACUAACAAGAAUGAUAACGUGCUCCGACUGGAGCGGUUUAGGAACUGCUGGAAGGCUCUAGGGGAAUAAAGAAGGAAUGACUUCUAAUUUUUAGGUCCGUAUGAUUUGAAAUACGUGCACACAAACCGCGCGAAAGCGUUCCUGGAAAUCUCAGCCAAAAAAAGGACGUUUAGUAUUCUAAAAGGGACUACAGAAUGAAAAACAAUAGUUUUGGCAGUUAAAGUUUGAGAUUCGACGGUGCUGUAGAUCCGUUUGGUCAUCAGGUGUUACGAGCCACACCCAUGUCUAGCUAGAAUAGUGUGCUAGGCUCAGGCUAGAGAAGAAAAGGGGAACAAACUAAUGAAAGAAUGAUCAAUCCGAGGGAAUUCACUCAGAACUAACAAUAAUGAUAACGUGCUCCGACUGGAGCGGUUUAGGAACUGCUGGAAGGCUCUAGGCGAAUAAAGAUGGAAUGACUUCUAAUUUUUACGUCCGUAUGAUUUGAAAUACUUGCACACAAACCACGCAAAAGCGUUCCUGGAAGUCUCGGCCUAAAAAGGACGUUUAGUAAUUCUAAAAGGGACUACAGGAUGAAAAAUAAUAGUUUGGGCAGUUAAAAUUUGAGAUUCGACGGUGCCGUAGAUCCAUUUGGUCAUCAAGUGUUACGAGCCACACCCAUGUCUAGCUAGAAUAGUGUGUUAGGCUCAGGCUAGAGAAGAAACGGGGAACAAACUGAUGAAAGAAUGAUCAUACCAAGGGAAUUCACUCAGAACUAACAAGAAUGAUAACGUGCUCCGACUGGAGCAGUUUAGAAACUGCUGGAAGGCUCUUGGGGAAUAAAGAUGGAAUGACUUCAAAUUUUUAGGUCCGUAUGAUUUGAAAUACUUGCACACAAACCACGCGAAAGCGUUCCUGGAAAUCUCAGCCCAAAAAAGGACGUUUAGUAAUUCUAAAAGGGACUACAUGAUGAAAAACAAUAGUUUUGGCAGUUAAAGUUUGAGAAUCGUCGGUGCCGUAGAUCCGUUUGGUCAUCAGCUGUAACGAGCCACACCCAUGUCUAGCUAGAGUAGUGUGCUAGGCUCAGACUAGAGAAGAAACAGGGAACAAAGUGAUGAAAGAAUGAUCAUACCGAGGGAAUUCACUUAGAACUAACAAGAAUGAUAACAUGCUCCGACUUGAGCGAUUUAGGAACUUCUGGAAGGCUCUAGGGGAAUAAAGAUGGAAUGACUCAAAUUUUUAGGCCCGUAUGAUUUGAAAUACAUGCACACAAACCGCGAGAAAGUGUUCCUGGAAAUCUUAGCCCAAAAAAGGACGUUUAGUAAUUCUAAAAGGGACUACAGGAUGAAAAACAAUAGUUUUGGUAGUUAAAGUUUCAGAUUCGAUAAUGCCCUAGAUCCGUUUGGUCAUCAGGUGUAACGAGCCACACCAAUGUCUAGCUAGAGUAGUGUGCUAGGCUCAGACUAGAUAAGAAACGGGGAAGAAACUGAUGAAAGAAUGAUCAGACCGAGGGAAUUCACUCAGAACUAACAAUAAUGAUAACGUGCUCCGAGUGGAGCGGUUUAGGAACUGCUGGAAGGCUCUAGGGGAAUAAAGAUGGAAUGACUUCUAAUUUUUAGGUCCGUAUGAUUUGAAAUACGUGCACACAAACCCCGAGAAACCGUUCCUUGAAAUCUCGGCCCAAAAAAGGACGUUUAGUAAUUCUAAAAGGGACUACAAAAUGAAAAACAAUAGUUUUGGCAGUUAAAGUUUGAGAUUCGACGGUGUCGUAGACCCGUUUGGUCUUCAGGUGUUACGAGCCACACCCAUGUCUAGCCAGAGUAGUGUGCUAGGUUCAGACUAGAGAAGAAACGGGGAACAAAGUGAUGAAAGAAUGAUCAUACCGAGGGAAUUCACUCAGAACUAACAAGAAUGAUAACGUGCUCCGACUGGAGCGGGUUAGGAACUCCUGGAAGGCUCUAGGGGAAUAAAGAUGGAAUGACUUCUAAUUUUUACGUCCGUAUGAUUUGAAAUACUUGCACACAAACCACGCAAAAGCGUUCCUGGAAAUCUCAGCCUAAAAAAGGACGUUUAGUAAUUCUAAAAGGGACUACAGGAUGAAAAAUAAUAGUUUGGUCAUCAGGUGUUACGAGCCACACCCAUGUCUAGCUAGAAUAGUGUGCUAGGCUCAGGCUAGAGAAGAAACGGGGAAUAAACUGAUGAAAGAAUGAUCAAACCGAGGGAAUUCACUCAGAACUAACAAUAAUGAUAACGUUCUCCGUCUGGAGCGGUUUAGGAACUGCUGGAAGGCUCUAGGGGAAUAAAGAUGGAAUGACUUCUAAUUUUUAGGUCCGUAUGAUACGAAAUACUUGCACACAAACCGCGCGAAAUCGUUCCUGGAAAUCUCAGCCCAAAAAAGGACGUUUAGUAAUUCUAAAAGGGACUACAGCAUGAAAAACAAUAGUUCUGGCAGUUAAAGUUUGAGAUUCGAUAAUGCCGUAGAUCCGUUUGGUCAUCAGGUGUAACGAGCCACACCCAUGUCUAGCUAGAGUAGUAUGCUAGGCUCAGACUAGAGAAGAAACGGGGAACAAACUGAUGAAAGAAUGAUUAUACCGAGGGAAUUCACUCAGAACUAACAAGAAUGAUAACGUGCUCCGGCUGGAGCGGUUUAGGAACUGCUAGAAGGCUCUAGGGGAAUAAAGAUGGAAUGACUUCAAAUUUUUAGGUCUGUAUGAUUUGAAAUACUUGCACACAAACCGCAAGAAAGCGUUCCUGGAAAUCUCAGCCCAAAAAAGGACGUUUAGUAAUUCUAAAAGGGACUAUAGGAUGAAAAACAAUAGUUCUGGUAGUUAAAGUUUGAGAUUCGAUAAUGUCAUAGAUCCGUUCGGUCAUCAGGUGUAACGAGCCACACCCAUGUCUAGCUAGAGUAGUGUGCUAGGCUCAGACUAGAGAAGAAACGGGGAACAAACUGAUGAAAGAAUGAUCAUACCGAGGGAAUUCACUCAGAACUAACAAGAAUGAUAACGUGCUCCGACUGGAGCGGUUUAGGAACUGCUGGAAGGCUCUAGGGGAAGAAAGAAGGAAUGACUUCUAAUUUUUAGGUCCGUAUGAUUUGAAAUACGUGCACACAAACCGCGCGAAAGCGUUCCUGGAAAUCUCAGCCCAAAAAAGGACGUUUAGUAUUCUAAAAGGGACUACAGAAUGAAAAACAAUAGUUUUGGCAGUUAAAGUUUGAGAUUCGACGGUGCCGUAGAUCCGUUUGGUCAUCAGGUGUUACGAGCCACACCCAUGUCUAGCUAGAAUAGUGUGCUAGGCUCAGGCUAGAGAAGAAAAGGGGAACAAACUGAUGAAAGAAUGAUCAAACCGAGGGAAUUCACUCAGAACUAACAAUAAUGAUAACGUGCUCCGACUGGAGCGGUUUAGGAACUGCUGGAAGGCUCUUGGCGAAUAAAGAUGGAAUGACUUCUAAUUUUUACGUCCGUAUGAUUUGAAAUACUUCCACACAAACCAGGCAAAGGCGUUCCUGGAAAUCUCGGCCUAAAAAGGACGUUUAGUAAUUCUAAAAGGGACUACAGGAUGAAAAAUAAUAGUUUGGGCAGUUAAAAUUUUAGAUUCGACGGUGCCGUAGAUCCGUUUGGUCAUCAGGUGUUACGAGCCACACCCAUGUCUAGCUAGAAUAGUGUGUUAGGCUCAGGCUAGAGAAGAAACGGGGAACAAACUGAUGAAAGAAUGAUCAUACCAAGGGAAUUCACUCAGAACUAACAAGAAUGAUAACGUGCUCCGACUGGAGCAGUUUAGAAACUACUGGAAGGCUCUAGGGGAAUAAAGAUGGAAUGACUUCAAAUUUUUAGGUCCGUAUGAUUUGAAAUACUUGCACACAAACCGCGCGAAAGCGUUCCUGGAAAUCUCAGCCCAAAAAAGGACGUUUAGUAAUUCUAAAAGGGACUACAUGAUGAAAAACAAUAGUUUUGGCAGUUAAAGUUUGAGAUUCGUCGGUGCCGUAGAUCCGUUUGGUCAUCAGCUGUAACGAGCCACACCCAUUUCUAGCUAGAGUAGUGUGCUAGGCUCAGACUAAAGAAGAAAUGGGGAACAAAGUGAUGAAAGAAUGCUCAUACCGAGGGAAUUCACUCAGAACUAACAAGAAUGAUAACAUGCUCCGACUUGAGCGAUUUAGGAACUUCUGGAAGGCUCUAGGGGAAUAAAGAUGGAAUGACUCAAAUUUUUAGGUCCGUAUGAUUUGAAAUACUUGCACACAAACCGCGAGAAAGCGUUCCUGGAAAUCUCAGCCCAAAAAAGGACGUUUAGUAAUUCUAAAAGGGACUACAUGAUGAAAAACAAUAGUUUUGGCAGUUAAAGUUUGAGAUUUGAUAAUGCCGUAGAUCCGUUUGGUCAUCAGGUGUAACGAGCCACACCCAUGUCUAGCUAGAGUAGUGUGCUAGGCUAAGACUAGAUAAGAAAAGGGGAAGAAACUUAUGAAAGAAUGAUCAGACCGAGGGAAUUCACUCAGAACUAACAAUAAUGAUAACGUGCUCCGACUGGAGCGGUUUAGGAACUGCUGGAAGGCUCUAGGGGAAUAAAGAUGGAAUGACUUCUAAUUUUUAGGUCCGUAUGAUUUGAAAUACGUGCACACAAACCCCGAGAAACCGUUCCUGGAAAUCUCGGCCCAAAAAAGGAUGUUUAGUAAUUCUAAAAGGGACUACAAAAUGAAAAACAAUAGUUUUGGCAGUUAAAGUUUGAGAUUUGAUGGUGCCGUAGAUCUGUUUGGUCAUCAGGUGUUACGAGCCACACCCAUGUCUAGCUAGAAUAGUGUGUUAGGCUCAGGCUAGAAAAGAAACGGGAAACAAAGUGAUGAAAGAAUGAUCAUACCGAGGGAAUUCACUCAGAACUAACAAGAAUGAUAACAUGCUCUGACUGGAGCGGUUUAGGAACUGCUGGAAGGCUCUAGGGGAAUAAAGAUGGAAUGACUUCUAAUGUUUAGGUCCGUAUGAUUUGAAAUACUUGCACAUAAACCGCGCAAAAGCGUUCCUGGAAAUCUCAGCCCAAAAAAGGACGUUUAGUAAUUCUAAAAGGGACUACAGGAUGAAAAACAAUAGUUUUGGCAGUUAAAGUUUGAGAUUCGACGGUGCCGUAGAUCCGUUUGUUCAUCAGGUGUUACGAGCCACACCCAUGUCUAGCUAGAAUAGUGUGUUAGGCUCAGGCUAGAGAAGAAACGGGGAACAAACUGAUGAAAGAAUGAUCAAACCGAGGGAAUUCACUCAGAACUAACAAUAAUGAUAACGUGCUCCGACUAGAGCGGUUUAGGAACUGCUGGAAGGCUCUAGGGGAAUAAAGAUGGAAUGACUUCUAAUUUUUAGGUCUGUAUGAUUUGAAAUACUUGCACGCAAACCGCGCGAAAGCGUUCCCGGAAAUAUCAGCCUAAAGAAGGACGUUUAGUAAUUCUAAAAGGGACUACAGGAUGAAAAACAAUAGUUUUGGCAGUUAAAGUUUGAGAUUCAACGGUGCCGUAGAUCCGUUUGGUCAUCAGGUGUUACGAGCCACACCCAUGUCUAGCUAGAGUAGUGUGCUAGGCUCAGGCUAGAGAAGAAACAGGGAACAAACUGAUGAAAGAAUGAUCAUACCGAGGGAAUUCACUCAGAACUGAUGAAAGAAUGAUCAAACCAAGGAAAUUCACUCAGAACUAACAAUAAUGAUAACAUGCUCCGACUGGAGCGGUUUAGGAACUGCUGGAAGGCUCUAGGGGAAUAAAGAUGGAAUGACUUCUAAUUUUUAGGUCCGUAUGAUUUGAAAUACGUGCACACAAACCCCGAGAAACCGUUCCUGGAAAUCUCGGCCCAAAAAAGGACGUUUAGUAAUUCUAAAAGGGACAACAAAAUGAAAAACAAUAGUUUUGGCAGUUAAAGUUUGAGAUUCGACGGUGCCGUAGACCCGUUUGGUCAUCAGGUGUUACGAGCCACACCCAUGUCUAGCUAGAGUAGUGUGCUAGGUUCAGACUAGAGAAGAAACGGGGAACAAAGUGAUGAAAGAAUGAUCAUACCGAGGGAAUUCACUCAGAACUAACAAGAAUGAUAACGUGCUCCGACUGGAGCGGGUUAGGAAUUGCUGGAAGGCUCUAGGGGAAUAAAGAUAGAAUGACUUCUAAUUUUUACGUCCGUAUGAUUUGAAAUACUUGCACACAAACCACGCAAAAGCGUUCCUAGAAAUCUCAGCCUAAAAAAGGACGUUUAGUAAUUCUAAAAGGGACUACAGGAUGAAAAAUAAUAGUUUGGCCAGUUAAAAUUUAAGAUUCGACGGUGCCGUAGAUCCGCUUGGUCAUCAGGUGUUACGAGCCACACCCAUGUCUAGCUAGAAUAGUGUGUUAGGCUCAGGCUAGAGAAGAAACGGGGAACAAACUGAUGAAAGAAUGAUCAUACCGAGGGAAUUCACUCAGAACUAACAAGAAUGAUAACAUGCUCCGACUGGAGCGGUUUAGGAACUGCUGGAAGGCUCUAGGGGAAUAAAGAUGGAAUGACUUCUAAUUUUUAGGUCCGUAUGAUUUGAAAUACUUGCACACAAACCGCAAGAAAGCGUUCCUGGAAAUCUCAGCACAAAAAAGGACGUUUAGUAAUUCUAAAAGGGACUACAGCAUGAAAAACAAUAGUUCUGGCAGUUAAAGUUUGAGAUUCGAUAAUGCCGUAGAUCCGUUUGGUCAUCAGGUGUAACGAGCCACACCCAUGUCUAGCUAGAGUAGUGUGCUAGGCUCAGACUAGAGAAGAAACGGGGAACAAAAUGAUGAAAGAAUGAUUAUACCGAGGGAAUUCACUCAGAACUAACAAGAAUGAUAACGUGCUCCGACUGGAGCGGUUUAGGAACUGCUGGAAGGCUCUAGGGGAAUAAAGAUGGAAUGACUUCAAAUUUUUAGGUCUGUAUGAUUUGAAAUACUUGCACACAAACCGCAAGAAAGCGUUCCUGGAAAUCUCAGCCCAAAAAUGGACGUUUAGUAAUUCUAAAAGGGACUAUAGGAUGAAAAACAAUAGUUCUGGCAGUUAAAGUUUGAGAUUCGAUAAUGUCGUAGAUCCGUUCGGUCAUCAGGUGUAACGAGCCACACCCAUGUCUAGCUAGAGUAGUGUGCUAGGCUCAGACUAGAGAAGAAACGGGGAACAAACUGAUGAAAGAAUGAUCAUACCGAGGGAAUUCACUCAGAACUAACAAGAAUGAUAACGUGCUCCGACUGGAGCGGUUUAGGAACUGCUGGAAGGCUCUAGGGGAAGAAAGAAGGAAUGACUUCUAAUUUUUAGGUCCGUAUGAUUUGAAAUACGUGCACACAAACCGCGCGAAAGCGUUCCUGGAAAUCUCAGCCCAAAAAAGGACGUUUAGUAUUCUAAAAGGGACUACAGAAUGAAAAACAAUAGUUUUGGCAGUUAAAGUUUGAGAUUCGACGGUGCCGUAGAUCCGUUUGGUCAUCAGGUGUUACGAGCCACACCCAUGUCUAGCUAGAAUAGUGUGCCAGGCUCAGGCUAGAGAAGAAAAGGGGAACAAACUGAUGAAAGAAUGAUCAAACCGAGGGAUUUCACUCAGAACUAACAAUAAUGAUAACGUGCUCCGACUGGAGCGGUUUAGGAACUGCUGGAAGGCUCUAGGCGAAUAAAGAUGGAAUGACUUCUAAUUUUUACGUCCGUAUGAUUUUAAAUACUUGCACACAAACCACGCAAAAGCGUUCCUGGAAAUCUCGGCCUAAAAAGGACGUUUAGUAAUUCUAAAAGGGACUACAGGAUGAAAAAUAAUAGUUUGGGCAGUUAAAAUUUGAGAUUCGACGGUGCCGUAGAUCCGUUUGGUCAUCAGGUGUUACGAGCCACACCCAUGUCUAGCUAGAAUAGUGUGUUAGGCUCAGGCUAGAGAAGAAACAGGGAACAAACUGAUGAAAGAAUGAUCAUACCAAGGGAAUUCACUCAGAACUAACAAGAAUGAUAACGUGCUCCGACUGGAGCAGUUUAGAAACUGCUGGAAGGCUCUAGGGGAAUAAAGAUGGGAUGACUUCAAAUUUUUAGGUCCGUAUGAUUUGAAAUACUUGCACACAAACCGCGCGAAAGCGUUCCUGGAAAUCGCAGCCCAAAAAAGGACGUUUAGUAAUUCUAAAAGGGACUACAUGAUGAAAAACAAUAGUUUUGGCAGUUAAAGUUUGAGAUUCGUCGGUGCCGUAGAUCCGUUUGGUCAUCAGCUGUAACGAGCCACACCCAUGUCUAGCUAGAGUAGUGUGCUAGGCUCAGACUAGAGAAGAAAUGGGGAAAAAAGUGAUGAAAGAAUGAUCAUACCGAGGGAAUUCACUCAGAACUAACAAGAAUGAUAACAUGCUCCGACAUGAGCGAUUUAGGAACUUCUGGAAGGCUCUAGGGGAAUAAAGAUGGAAUGACUCAAAUUUUUAGGUCCGUAUGAUUUGAAAUACUUGCACACAAACCGCGAGAAAGCGUUCCUGGAAAUCUCAGCCCAAAAAAGGACAUUUAGUAAUUCUAAAAGGGACUACAGGAUGAAAAACAAUAGUUUUGGCAGUUAAAGUUUGAGAUUUGAUAAUGCCGUAGAUCCGUUUGGUCAUCAGGUGUAACGAGCCACACCCAUGUCUAGCUAGAGUAGUGUGCUAGGCUAAGACUAGAUAAGAAACCGGGAAGAAACUAAUGAAAGAAUGAUCAGACCGAGGGAAUUCACUCAGAACUAACAAUAAUGAUAACGUGCUCCGACUGGAGCGGUUUAGGAACUGCUGGAAGGCUCUAGGGGAAUAAAGAUGAAAUGACUUCUAAUUUUUAGGUUCGUAUGAUUUGAAAUACAUGCACACAAACCCCGAGAAACCGUUCCUGGAAAUCUCGGCCCAAAAAAGGAUGUUUAGUAAUUCUAAAAGGGACUACAAAAUGAAAAACAAUAGUUUUGGUAGUUAAAGUUUGAGAUUUGAUGGUGCCAUAGAUCUGUUUGGUCAUCAGGUGUUACGAGCCACACCCAUGUCUAGCUAGAAUAGUGUGUUAGGCUCAGGCUAGAAAAGAAACGGGAAACAAAGUGAUGAAAGAAUGAUCAUACCGAGGGAAUUCACUCAGAACUAACAAGAAUGAUAACAUGCUCUGACUGGAGCGGUUUAGGAACUGCUGGAAGGCUCUAGGGGAAUAAAGAUGGAAUGACUUCUAAUGUUUAGGUCCGAGGUCCGUAUGAUUUGAAAUACUUGCACAUAAACCGUGCAAAAGCGUUCCUGGAAAUCUCAGCCCAAAAAAGGACGUUUAGUAAUUCUAAAAGGGACUACAGGAUGAAAAACAAUAGUUUUGGCAGUUAAAGUUUGAGAUUCGACGGUGCCGUAGAUCCGUUCGUUCAUCAGGUGUUACGAGCCACACCCAUGUCUAGCUAGAAUAGUGUGUUAGGCUCAGGCUAGAGAAGAAACGGGGAACAAACUGAUGAAAGAAUGAUCAAACCGAGGGAAUUCACUCAGAACUAACAAUAAUGAUAACGUGCUCCGACUAGAGCGGUUUAGGAACUGCUGGAAGGCUCUAGGGGAAUAAAGAUGGAAUGACUUCUAAUUUUUAGGUCUGUAUGAUUUGAAAUACUUGCACGCAAACCGCGCGAAAGCGUUCCCGGAAAUAUCAGCCCAAAAAAGGACGUUUAGUAAUUCUAAAAGGGACUACAGGAUGAAAAACAAUAGUUUUGGCAGUUAAAGUUUGAGAUUCAACGGUGCCGUAGAUCCGUUUGGUCAUCAGGUGUUACGAGCCACACCCAUGUCUAGCUAGAGUAGUGUGCUAGGCUCAGGCUAGAGAAGAAACAGGGAACAAACUGAUGAAAGAAUGAUCAUACCGAGGGAAUUCACUCAGAACUGAUGAAAGAAUGAUCAAACCGAGGAAAUUCACUCAGAACUAACAAUAAUGAUAACAUGCUCCGACUGGAGCGGUUUAGGAACUGCUGGAAGGCUCUAGGGGAAUAAAGAUGGAAUGACUUCUAAUUUUUAGGUCCGUAUGAUUUGAAAUACGGGCACACAAACCCCGAGAAACCGUUCCUGGAAAUCUCGGCCCGAAAAAGGACGUUUAGUAAUUCUAAAAGGGACUACAAAAUGAAAAACAAUAGUUUUGGCAGUUAAAGUUUGAGAUUCGACGGUGCCGUAGACCCGUUCGGUCAUCAGGUGUAACGAGCCACACCCAUGUCUAGCUAGAGUAGUGUGCUAGGCUCAGACUAGAGAAGAAACGGGGAACAAACUGAUGAAAGAAUGAUCAUACCGAGGGAAUUCACUCAGAACUAACAAGAAUGAUAACGUGCUCCGACUGGAGCGGUUUAGGAACUGCUAGAAGGCUCUAGGGGAAGAAAGAAGGAAUGACUUCUAAUUUUUAGGUCUGUAUGAUUUGAAAUACGUGCACACAAACCGCGCGAAAGCGUUCCUGGAAAUCUCAGCCCAAAAAAGGACGUUUAGUAUUCUAAAAGGGACUACAGAAUGAAAAACAAUAGUUUUAGCAGUUAAAGUUUGAGAUUCGACGGUGCCGUAGAUCCGUCUGGUCAUCAGGUGUUACGAGCCACACCCAUGUCUAGCUAGAAUAGUGUGCUAGGCUCAGGCUAGAGA
rnacentral:lncRNA from 1 species